UCUCAGUUCACAGGGCUGUCCCUUC
rnacentral:misc_RNA from 1 species